AGAGUUUGAUCCUGGCUCAGGACGAACGCUGGCGGCACGCUUAACACAUGCAAGUCGAACGGAGAUAAAUAGGUUUACUUGUUUAUCUUAGUGGCGGACGGGUGAGUAACACGUGAGCAACCUGCCUCUGAGAGAGGGAUAGCUUCUGGAAACGGAUGGUAAUACCUCAUAACAUACAGAUACCGCAUGGUAAUUGUAUCAAGGAUUUAUCACUCAGAGAUGGGCUCGCGUCUGAUUAGCUAGUUGGUGAGGUAACGGCUCACCAAGGCGACGAUCAGUAGCCGGACUGAGAGGUUGAACGGCCACAUUGGGACUGAGACACGGCCCAGCUCUCCUACGGGAGGCAGCAGUGGGGAAUAUUGCACAAUGGGGGAAACCCUGAUGCAGCGAUGCCGCGUGGAGGAAGAAGGUUUUCGGAUUGUAAACUCCUGUCUUAAAGGACGAUAAUGACGGUACUUUAGGAGGAAGCUCCGGCUAACUACGUGCCAGCAGCCGCGGU
rnacentral:rRNA from 1 species